rnacentral:tRNA from 1 species
GGCGGGUUCCUGGUGGAGCCACCCGUCUGCAAAACGGGUUCCCGGGAGGGCGACCGGUUCGAUUCCGGCCUUGGCCU